AUUGAACGCUGGCGGCAGGCCUAACACAUGCAAGUCGAACGCGUGGCGGACGGGUGAGUAAUGUCUGGGAACCUGCCUGAUGGAGGGGGAUACCUACUGGAAACGGUAGCUAAUACCGCAUACCAUCGGAUGUGCCCAGAUGGGAUUAGCUAGUAGGUGGGUUAACGGCUCACCUAGGCGACGAUCCCUAGCUGGUCUGAGAGGAUGACCAGCCACACUGGAACUGAGACACGGUCCAGACUCCUACGGGAGGCAGCAGUGGGGAAUAUUGCACAAUGGGCGAAAGCCUGAUGCAGCCAUGCCGCGUGUAUGAAGAAGGCCUUCGGGUUGUAAAGUACUGUCAGCGGGGAGGCGUUACCCGCAGAAGAAGCACCGGCUAACUCCGUGCCAGCAGCCGCGGUAAUUC
rnacentral:rRNA from 1 species